ACCUAAUAAUAAGGCAUAAAGAAAAGGAGUGCAUAUAUUUUUGUGGGGAGAAAUUCUUCUGUAGGAACGAACCUAACAUAUCAUUCUUACAAACAACAAAUUAAAACAUGAUACGUCAUUGUUUUAUUUUAAAAUAAUUAGGAAAUAAUUUAAGAAAUGAAAAAUAAAUGCUCCUCCUCUCUCUCAACCAUUAUUUGCAGUUAGUAUUCA
rnacentral:lncRNA from 1 species